rnacentral:rRNA from 1 species
AACGAACGCUGGCGGCAUGCCUAACACAUGCAAGUCGAGCGCCCUUUCGGGGGCUCGGCGGACGGGUGAGUAACGCGUGGGAAUAUGCCCUUCUCUACGGAAUAGCCUCGGGAAACUGAGAGUAAUACCGUAUACGCCCUGUGGGGGAAAGAUUUAUCGGGGAAGGAUUAGCCCGCGUUGGAUUAUGUAGUUGGUGGGGUAAUGGCCUACCAAGCCGACGAUCCAUAGCUGGUUUGAGAGGAUGAUCAGCCACACUGGGACUGAGACACGGCCCAGACUCCUACGGGAGGCAGCAGUGGGGAAUCUUAGACAAUGGGGGCAACCCUGAUCUAGCCAUGCCGCGUGAGUGAUGAAGGCCUUAGGGUUGUAAAGCUCUUUCAGCUGGGAAGAUAAUGACGGUACCAGCAGAAGAAGCCCCGGCUAACUCCGUG